rnacentral:rRNA from 1 species
UUACCUGGUUGAUCCUGCCAGAACUGAUGUGCUUAUCUCAAAGAUUAAGCCAUGCAUGUCUAAGUAUAAACGAUUUAAUCGUGAAACCGCGAAUGGCUCAUUAUAACAGCUAUAAUUUACUUGAUCUUGACACAAUCCUACUUGGAUAACUGUGGUAAUUCUAGAGCUAAUACAUGCAUUAAAGCUCUGACCUCACGGGAAGAGUGCAUUUAUUAGAACAAAACCAAGCGGCUUCGGCUGUUUCUGGUUGACUCAUAGUAACUGAGCUGAUCGCAUGGUCUUGCACCGGCGACGUGUCUUUCAAGUAUCUGCCGUAUCAACUUUCGAUGGUAGUGUAUCUGACUACCAUGGUGAUCACGCGUAACGGAGAAUAAGGGUUCGGCUCCGGAGAGUUCGCCUGAGAAAUCGCGAACACAUCUAAGGAAGGCAGCAGGCGCGAAAAUUACCCACUCUCAGCACGAGGAGGUAGUGACGAAAAAUAACGAGACCGUUCUCUUAUGAGGCCGGUCAUCGGAAUGGGUACAAUUUAAACCCUUUAACGAGUAUCUAUGAGAGGGCAAGUCUGGUGCCAGCAGCCGCGGUAAUUCCAGCUCUCAAAGUGCAUAGAAUUAUUGCUGCGGUUAAAAAGCUCGUAGUUGGAUCUGUGCCAUAGGACGUGGUCCACCUUCGGGUGCGUACUACGCUCCUAGGCUUUUUGCUGGUUUUCCCGUCGUAGCCUUCACUGGUUGCGGCGGGUGGCUGGCGAGUUUACUUUGAGAAAAUCAGAGUGCUCAAUACAGGCGUAUCGCUUGAAUGAUUGUGCAUGGAAUAAUAGAAAAGGAUUUCGGUCCUCUUUUAUUGGUUUUGUGGACUGAGAUAAUGGUUAACAGGGACAAACGGGGGCAUUCGUAUCUCUGCGUGAGAGGUGAAAUUCUUGGACCGUAGAGAGACGCCCUACUGCGAAAGCAUUUGCCAAGAAUGUCUUCAUUAAUCAAGAACGAAAGUCAGAGGUUCGAAGGCGAUCAGAUACCGCCCUAGUUCUGACCGUAAACGAUGCCAACUAGCGAUCCGCCGGUGGAUUUUUAGCCCUGGUGGGUAGCUUCCCGGAAACGAAAGUCUUCCGGUUCCGGGGGAAGUAUGGUUGCAAAGCUGAAACUUAAAGGAAUUGACGGAAGGGCACCACCAGGAGUGGAGCCUGCGGCUUAAUUUGACUCAACACGGGGAAACUCACCCGGCCCGGACACCGUAAGGAUUGACAGAUUGAUAGCUCUUUCAUGAUUCGGUGGUUGGUGGUGCAUGGCCGUUCUUAGUUCGUGGAUCGAUUUGUCUGGUUUAUUCCGAUAACGAGCGAGACUCUAGCCUACUAAAUAGUAACGAGAUUAUCAAUGUCUCAGUUGCUUCUUAGAGGGAUUUUCGGUGUUUAGCCGCACGAGAUUGAGCAAUAACAGGUCUGUGAUGCCCUUAGAUGUCCGGGGCUGCACGCGCGCUACACUGGCGAAAUCAGCGUGCUGUAUCCAUUCUCGAAAGGGAUUGGUAAACCCAUGAAAAUUUGCCGUGCUUGGGAUCGGAAAUUGCAAUUAUUUUCCGUGAACGAGGAAUUCCAAGUAAGUGCGAGUCAUCAACUCGCUCUGAUUACGUCCCUGCCCUUUGUACACACCGCCCGUCGCUGCCCGGGACUGAGCCAUUUCGAGAAGAUCAGGGACUGGUGGACUGUGGCCUUUUCGGAGGUCCGGUUCGCUGGAAACUGAUUUGAUCGCAGUGGCUUGAACCGGGCAAAAGUCGUAACAAGGUAGCCGUAGGUGAACCUGCGGAAGGAUCAUUAA